UGGUUGACUGGGGAGAGCGGGGAUCGAACCGCCGACUCUUUGAUCAUUGGACAACCUGCUCAACCGCCCAAAUAAAAACAACUUCGAAAAGCACAUUUUGAACAUAGAGUGAACAUGCAGGCAUAUCUCAACCUAGAGGACAAGGUUCAGCUGGUACUUGUUAAAACCGAGCCCGUUGAGUUGGCGACACCAGUUCAGUGGCCUUGUGGAAGAGUGUCUGCCCCGUGACUGGAAGGUUUUGAGUGCAAAUCCAGGCCAAGUCAUACCAACAACCCUAAAAAUGGGACCCAGUGACAUUAAGGGGUAAAUUGGGGGAUUAAACUGCCAAAUGGUUCCCAAGCGCGGCUUUGUCUGCAGCUCACUGCUCCCCCAGGGGAGGGGUCAAAGGCAAAGGACAAAUGUCACACAUAUACAGUAGGUGUGUGACAGAUAAUGGGACUUUAACUUUUCUUUUUCUAAAUAUUCAUUUGUAAUCUGUCUGCUCACAGUCUCUUUAGAAACAAGGCGACUCAGAUGUUUGGUUAAAAAAUGAUGUGAGAAGAAGCUCAGAGGGAUGCUUACAGGAGAAACUUUAAAUUAUUGGAAUAAAUCAUCUGGUUGGUCAUGAAUGGACACGAGAUCAUAACUUUCUGGAAACACACUUUUGUCAUUUGUUUUAGUGAACCUAUGAAUGUGUUUGGAAUUGGACCAGCAACCUACAAACAGAGAAAUGAAUCCGAGUUGUAGCCCUUUUGAUGCUAAAGUAGAAGUGAAUCACGAGCCCUGAUGUGUUUUUCUCAUGAAGCUGCACUAAACGAAAUUCCUGCAGUCAGCCCGUCAACCAGAAUCCAACGCGGCUUUUCUGCUGAAGACUUUUCAGAUGAAACCAGAUUCAUGCACAGUUGUGUCCACACUGCGUCCAACGUCCUCUCCUGUGAGAUGUCUGCUCCCAUGCAGGACAAUGACGGACAUGAACCACGACGACCAUGGAAAUGACAGACCUACAGGAAAGUGGCGUCACAGCGUUGCUCCACUGGGUUUGGUGCUGCUGCAGUCAUCACACAGAGAUUGGAUGCAGGAGGGGACAGUGGACUCAUCCGAGCCGUCUUCAGCAUAGAUAAGGACUCGUUUCUCGCCGAAGGCCGCGGCGCAGCCCAGGCCAGAAGAGCGUUAACGCCGUGCCUUCAGCAGCUCAGCCCAGGCCAGCUUUCUGUCCAUCACAUCCACCCGUACAGCAGCCUUAACGGAUCAGACACCACCCAGACUGAGGACUUAUGCUGUUGUAAUCAUCAACUUUAUUACAUUUCAUUGGACAUUCAGGAAUCAUGGAAUCAAACCAACACACAAAGUAAAGUCUUAGUUUUUAGUCUGAAUGAAUUCUGGUCACAUUAGGGUUUUCUCUCUUGGACUGCAUGCAAACAGAAGAUUAAAUCAAAAAAAUCACAAUGAUGACUGUUGGGAGGUUUUGUGUGAUUU